AAUGGCUAGGAACUAAAAAAAAAUACAGUCAAACUCAGUAGCCUCAAUGCGAAUAGCCAAUGGCACUGCAGAUCAAAGGACUACUCACACCACUGCAGCAUCGAGAAGAUCACUGACGAGUGAAUAGACAUUCAUGUGGUUCUCGUGUUGGUCAUGCUUAGUACAAGUUAUUCUCUAACAACCAUCCGUACCUUUAUCCCAGUGUCUCUACAUCGCAGAUCUGAGACUUAUCUGUCCAUAAGGGAGGUGAACCGUGCAUCGAUCUCAAAUAGAUUGAUCACUGUCUUUCAUGACAAUCCUU
rnacentral:lncRNA from 1 species